GACGAACGCUGGCGGCGUGCCUAAUACAUGCAAGUAGAACGCUGAAGGAGGAGCUUGCUUCUCUGGAUGAGUUGCGAACGGGUGAGUAACGCGUAGGUAACCUGCCUGGUAGCGGGGGAUAACUAUUGGAAACGAUAGCUAAUACCGCAUAAGAGUAGAUGUUGCAUGACAUUUGCUUAAAAGGUGCAAUUGCAUCACUACCAGAUGGACCUGCGUUGUAUUAGCUAGUUGGUGGGGUAACGGCUCACCAAGGCGACGAUACAUAGCCGACCUGAGAGGGUGAGCGGCCACACUGGGACUGAGACACGGCCCAGACUCCUACGGGAGGCAGCAGUAGGGAAUCUUCGGCAAUGGACGGAAGUCUGACCGAGCAACGCCGCGUGAGUGAAGAAGGUUUUCGGAUCGUAAAGCUCUGUUGUAAGAGAAGAACGAGUGUGAGAGUGGAAAGUUCACACUGUGACGGUAGCUUACCAGAAAGAGACGGCUAACUACGUG
rnacentral:rRNA from 1 species